GAUCCUGGCUCAGAGUGAACGCUGGCGGUAGGCCUAACACAUGCAAGUCGAACGGCAGCACAGUAAGAGCUUGCUCUUAUGGGUGGCGAGUGGCGGACGGGUGAGGAAUACAUCGGAAUCUACCUUUUCGUGGGGGAUAACGUAGGGAAACUUACGCUAAUACCGCAUACGACCUCGGUGAAGCAGGGGACCGUCGGGUCCGUUCGCGCGGAGUAGAUGAGCCGACGUGUCGGAGUUAGCUAGUUGGUCGGGGUAAACGGG
rnacentral:rRNA from 1 species